UGGUGUUUGAUGGUGAGGAGAGAGUGUUUAGUGUUUGGUUUGUGUAUCUGGUUCUUUGCGCGAGUCCGCAUGGGAUGUAUAUUGGUUGCUGGGUUCGCAGGUGGCGGGGGUUGGGCUGGUUGAGUGGUGAUUAUUGGAGGAGUUGGAGUUUGAGUACAUACCUGUGCAUUACCAGAGGGUGUUGUUGAUUCAAUACCUGGGUCCACCUGUGUGUUAUCAGAAGAUAGCACAGCAUCAUUCAUCAGUGAAGACGAAGAGGAUGGAAUGUCAGGCGUGGCCUGCCGGUGAGGAUCCCCGCCCGGGGAAGGCAUAGAUGGAGCAGACACGAGUGGCGCCGGGUGUGAUGAGAGGGUAAGUGGGACAACAGAGAAAGGGGGAGAGGUUUGCGACAACUCAGGCUGGGGUGUGGGUUUGGGUGGAGUAGCAAACGGAAACUUGUCCUCGAUGAACUGGACAUGGCGAGACACAAAGGUUCUGCCGCUGCCACGAUCAAGACACAGAUACGCACUUUGUGUAAGUGAGUAUCCAAGGAAGACACAUUCAGUCGAUCUCAUCGCCAUUUUGUUAUUUGCAUACGGACGGAGCCAGGGAUAACAUGCGCUGCCAAAGACUCGAAGUUUAUGGUAGUUUGGGACUUGUUGAAAGAGCUUGGCGUAGGGUGAUGUGUUGUUGAGGACUGGGGUGGGCAUGCGAUUGAUAAGGUAGACGGCAGUGGUGAAGGCAUAAGACCAGUAUGAAGUAGGCAUGGACGCUUGGCUGAGAAGAGUAAGACCAGUUUCCACAAUAUGACGGUGUUUCCUUUCGGAAAUCCCAUUGUGUUCUGGUGUGUGCGGUGGGGACGUCAGAUGAGAGAUACCGUGAGUUUGAAGAAAUUGUCUCAGCGCAAGAUAUUCCCCACCGUUGUCCGAGUAUAGAGUCUUGAUCUUCUCAUUAAACCGGUUUUCUACCAGUGCUUUGAAUGCGAUGAAGGUAGCCUGGACUUGCGACUUGAGCUUCAGCGGAUAUAGCCAAGUAAACCUCGUGAAGUGAUCAACAAAGAGAACAUAGUAUUUGAAGUUGUCUACUGAGUUUAUUGGGGACAUCCAGACGUCGCUAUACACAUACUCAAGUGGUUUGGUUGAGACAAUGGUAUUUGAAUAAAAAGGCAGUUUAUGGGUUUUAUUGAUUAAGCAAUGAGAACAAGGAGUUUGUUUUUGAGAUGACAACAAAGUAGGUAAAGAAAAUUGAGAAACAAGAGUGUUUAGGAUAGGUUGUGCUGGGUGGCCAAGUCGCAAAUGCCAAGAGGUGAGGGACGUUUUGGAGGUUGGUGACGCAAGGAGAGACGUGGGUUUGGAGUAUGGUACUGGCCACUCGUAUAGCUCAUCUUUAGUUCUGCCUUGAAGUAAUCGGACCCCCGUGCUGAGAUCCUUCACCUGAAAGUGGGCAGGAAAGAAUUCAACAGACACCGUAUUAGCAUUACACAAGCGGUAAACAGAUAUAAGGUUUUUAUGAAGGUUAGGAACAUAUAGGAUAUUGUUUAAGCUUAAAGGACGAGAUGGAGUGGGAAGAAUUGAGGAACCCGUAUGAGAGAUGGAGAGACCCGAGCCGUCAGCAAUGGUCACUUCUUCACCACCAUUGUAUGGCUGAUGGAGCGCCAGAUUACUCAGAUCGGUAGUGAGAUGGUGUGUGGCUCCGGAGUCAAGAAUCCAGUUGUUGGGGUUGUACGCAGCAGCUGCCAGAUUAGCACGAGGUUGCCAUGGUGCCGAGGCAGGGGUAGUGUAGCCUCCUUGUUGAGACAGCUGAGAGCAACGCCUCGCGCUAUGACCAUAGACCCCGCAGAGCUGACACUUGCCUUGAUACCCACGUGAUUGUUGCUCUUGGCGUGGUGCAUACGGCUGCUGUGGAGACCAUGUGUUACCACUGUUGCGAUUGUUCGAGCGACCACGGUAGUUGCUGUUGCGGUAGUUGUUGUUCUGAGAGCGGGACUGAGCCACAUUCGCCGAGAUCGGGAGUACUGCAUCAGACGUAGCAUCGUGAAGUUUAACUUCCUGGUUCAACAGCUUUUCAUGAACCUCAGUUAUCGAAGGAGUAACAUCACGCCCUUGGAUUUGAUCCACGACUUGUUUAUACUCCUCAGGCAGUCCGUCCACGAUGAACUCAAUCUGAUCUUCCAAAUCAAACGGCUUCCCCAAGAGAGCGAGCUGGUCAAAGCGAGUGGUGAAGCCUUGCAGGUACUCGUCAAUGGAUUUCGUGCCUUUCUUCCAUUGCUUGACCUGUUGACGGAGUUGUUGGAUGUGUCCGCGAGUUGGCUUAGCGUAGGUGGCGGAGAGUUUCGCCCAGAUCUCCGCAGACGUAGCUGUAGUAGCGAGGAUAGGUUGGAUGUUAGCUGAGAUCGCACCCAAGAGGGCACUGUAUAUUAGCUGAUCUUGACGUUGGUGAGACGUGUACUCAGGGUUGACCGUGACGACUUCAGCCGUCAUGAUCGUCGGGGUUGGGAUCGGGGUGUCGCUGGUGAUGUAUCCAGCGAGGCCAUAGCCAUUGAGUAGGGCCUGGACUUGACGGCUCCACAUAAGAAAGUUGGAUGCCGUGAGCUUCGUAACGUUGGUCAUGUUGACGUUUAAGAGCUUGACUGAAUCAAUGGUGAUGACAGUUUCAUGGUUAGUUGGGUGAGUCAUGGCGACUGAUGGAAGGGGAGGGAAGAAGAAGAAGCGGCUAGUUUAUUUAGGGUUUUUGAAUCGGAAGCUCUGAUACCAUAUGUAAUGGGAAGCGUAAUCUUAUUAGAGCAUGUUGUUAGAAUAUAAAUACAAGACUAGCUAGGGUUACAUGACAAUAUAAUUUACACAUAAGACCUUUCCAUAUAUACGUCCUACGAAGAGAACCUCGAAAAAAGACUUUCUGUUUGAAUAGUAUAUAGAUUGUUAAUAUAUAUUGAUAUUGAUGUAGCUGAAGCUACAAUAUCCCGAAUUUUUGGUUUAAUCUUGGAAAUUUCUAAAAAUUCGUGGAAUAUUUAAGAAAUUAAGUCUUCUUUCUUUCGUUGAGAAUUCUUUCGUUCAGAAUUCAGAAGUUUUAAUUAAUCAAAUCUUAAAUAAAAUAAAAUAUUAAGUCGAAAUGUUUAUUUUUAGUAAAUCAUAAAAUUCUAGAAAUAAUAAAAUAAUUAUCUUAAUAAUAAAUUAUAAAUUCCUUAAUCAAGAUAUUUAAAAUAUUCACUCUGCAUCACUUUUAACAGGUUGGAGAAGUAAAACAUGAGUCAUGUUCAUUGACAUUAUUAGGAAAUGUUGUGCUAAUAAACAUAGUAAGAUUACUUAAGCGGCCUUGAAGCGAUCAAUCUGGAUGCUCUCAGUUUGGAGCUUCUUGUAAUCACUUCUGUUUCUUGCAGCAAAGAACUUGCCCCAAUUGUACUUUUUGUAACAAGGCGGGUUGUCUUCGCUUAUAAGCUCCUUCAAUGGCUCAAUGUUGGUAUCGUGGGAUGGGAAAAGGAAGAAUGGCAUUGAGAAUCUCUCUUUGCUUGAAUUCACUACCACUCUAUGUUCUGCACUCCAAUACUUGUCAUUUGUCCAUACCUACUCCACACAACAAAUAUUAUAUGACCAAGUUACAUUAGACCCCAAAAUAUUUCGAGUUAAUAUAUAUACACAUAGACCCCUAAAUUGUUAAUUUUUUUUUAUUAAAUUGAUUUAAGUCCUCUAAAAUGUCAGGGUCAGCCCAAUAUAACCAGAUAACAUUCGAAGUUGACGUCUUUUACCUGCAUGCAGUUGCCAAUGUUAAUGAUGAAAGCAUCAGGGUUGGGUUUCACAGAGAACCAUUGUCCAUCUGAUCUACGGCUCACUUGUAACCCACCCACACUAUCUUGUGCCAAGACGGUUAUAACUCCUGCGUCUGCGUGGCGUCCAACGCCUAAUGCUAGCUCCGGGUUCGGGCAAGGAGGGUAAUGGUUAAACCGCAAAAAGCUUGUUUGGUCCUUGAAGUAACCUGUUAACCGAUCACCGGGUAGACCCAAGCUAAUGGAGAUAAGUUCCAAAAGCUUGAAAGCUAACUUCUCAACUUCUCUUGCAUAUUCUUGGCACACCUCUCUACCAAACAUGAUUAGUAUUAAUUAAACUUCAUAAUAAAUGGAUCCUAAUUAGGCCCAAUGGGCCUUAAUUAAAGCCUUGUUUUAAAGCGUGUUUUUAGAGAAUCACCUGAAGUCGGAAGGGUUUUGAGGCCACGGGUUAGUCAGCUUCCUGAGCUCGGUAUCUUCCGGCUCUGUAGUCGCCGGAACCGUCGUCGAGUCCUGCAGAAAGAAAUCGAAAAUCUCUUUCCAGUCUCUAACGUUUUUGGUAUGUUCUCCGUCGUGAUAACCCAUAGGGUUCACUUCAUCUCUUUUCACUCUUCUCUUCUCCUCCAACGUUAGACUGAAAAACUCGGCCACCGUCUUCUCCACCCUACGCAUUAAGUCCAACGACAAACCAUGGUUGAUCACCUGGAAAAAGCCCCAUCUCAUGCAUGCUUCUGCAAUCUCUGCCGCUAGCGCUGUCUUGUCGCAGUGUGGGUCUUGGAGAGAGGAGAGAUCGAUGGUCGGGAUCUCGUUGGAGAGAAUGUAGUCACCGGAGUUUGUGAGAUGAGUUUUGGGUCUGUGUUCUGGAGCUUGGAUAAAAGCUUCGUCGAGUACUCCCAUGGUGUUUUUUUGUCGGUGAUUCUUAUGUUUAUCUUUUAAGGCUUUGGAAGAUAUCUGAUGAUUCUUGUGGUGCAUGCGGUUGGGUUUGUUUUAUAGGUAAAUGCAACGUGUAACUUCGUGUGUAUCGAAAACAAAACGCUUUUAUUGGUAUGUAUGUAAUGGGAAGCGUAAUCUUAUUAGAGCAUGCUGUUACAAUAUAUAUACAAGACUAGCUAGGGUUACAUGACAAUAUAAUUUACACAUAAGACCUUUCCAUAUAUACUUCCUACAUGCCCCCUCAAGAUGGAGGUAGUUGUUGAACUCCAAUCUUGUUAGAUAAGUAGAUGAAGCGUGCUCGAGCAAGCGGUUUUGUAAGUGCGUCCGCGAGCUGAUCAUGAGUGGAGACAUGUGACACGCGCAGAGCCCCGAAGCUGACAUUGUCGCGUAUGAAGUGGUAGUCCAAGGCUAAGUGCUUCAUACGAGAGUGAAAAACUGGGUUAGCACAGAGGUACGUGGCGCCGACGUUAUCACAAUAUAUCACCGGCGUGGAGGGUAACGUGACACCAAGUUCCGAGAGGAGAGAACAGACCCAUCGCACUUCAGAGGCUGUGUUAGCCACAACUCUAUACUCAGCUUCCGUCGAGGAACGCGCCACACCUUGUUGCUUCUUGGAGGACCAUGCGAUGGGUGUGGUUCCGAGAUACAGAAUGUGCGCAUUCGUCGAGACAAAAUCAUCAACAUCUCCUGCCCAGUCGGCGUCUGAAAAUGCAUGUAAAGACAGAGGGGAGUCCUUACGGAGAUAGAUGCCAUGUGAAGAGGUACCGGCGAGAUAACGAAGGAUCCGUUUGGUAGCCUGCCAAUGUAGAUCCGUCGGACAAUGCAUAAAUUGAGAGAGCUUAUUCACCGCAUAAGCUAUAUCAGGCCGCGUGAACGCAAGGUAUUGUAGACUACCAAUGACAGUUCGGUACUCAGUCGGAUCCGAGAGGGCAGUGCCAGACUUGAGAGACAGCUUCGGCGUUGUUGCCAUUGGGGAGGUGACUGGCUUUGCAUCAACCAUGUUGGUGCGACGGAGAAGGUCAUUGAUAUAUUUGCGUUGCAUGAGAUGAAGACCAUGACCGGUUCUUGUCGCCUCAAUGCCUAGAAAGUAAUCCAAGUCCAUUGGAUCUUUAAGGGAGAAUCUAUUGGACAAGGCAGUGAUGAAGCUCGUGACAAGGGCCGGACUGCUACCAGUGACAAUGAUGUCAUCAACGUAGACGAGGCAAUACACAAUUCGACCUGCAUCAUUGUAAACAAACACAGAGGUAUCGGCUAGAGAGUUGCGGAACCCAAGGGAGCAGAGGAACGUCUUGAGUUCCUGAUACCACGCACGCGGCGCCUGUUUCAGGCCGUAGAGUGCCUUGCGGAGACGACAAACAUGAUGAGGACGAUCUUUAUCUACAUAGCCUGGUGGCUGGCUGACAUAGACUUCAUCAGUUAAGGUUCCUUGGAGGAAGGCGUUGUUGACGUCGAGCUGUUUGAUUUGCCACGCGCGGGAGACAGCAAGCUGGAGAACGAGUCGUAUAGUGAGCGACUUAACCACGGGACUAAACGUUUCUGAGUAAUCGAUGCCUUGCUGUUGUCUGUGUCCCCGCGCCACCCAUAUUGCUUUAUGUCUCUUGAGUGUGCCAUCUGGAAAAUAUUUAUGAGAAAAGAGCCACUUAGUAGAAAUAACAUGCUGACUAGGAUGUGAUGGAACCAAAUCAUAAGUUCGAUUCCGUAUCUGGGCAUCCAUCUCUUCGCCCAUGGCAUUACGCCAUUGCUCAUCCCUCAAGGCUUGGGUUACGGUAGUGGGGAUCAGUGGGGUGCUUUGGUGUUUGAUGGUGAGGAGAGAGUGUUUAGUGUUUGGUUUGUGUAUCUGGUUCUUUGCGCGAGUCCGCAUGGGAUGUAUAUUGGUUGCUGGGUUCGCAGGUGGCGGGGGUUGGGCUGGUUGAGUGGUGAUUAUUGGAGGAGUGGGAGUUUGAGUACAUACCUGUGCAUUGCCAGAGGGUGUUGUUGAUUCAAUACCUGGGUCCACCUGUGUGUUAUCAGAAGAUAGCACAACAUCAUUCAUCAGUGAAGACGAAGAGGAUGGAAUGUCAGGCGUGGCCUGCCGGUG
rnacentral:lncRNA from 1 species